rnacentral:rRNA from 1 species
UAGCGGCGGAUGGGUGAGUAACGCGUGGGUAACCUGCCCUAGAGAUCGGGAUAACAGCGGGAAACUGCUGCUAAUACCGGAUGUCUCUACAAGAAGGCAUCUUUUAGUAGAGAAAGCAAUAGCGCUCUAGGAUGGGCCCGCGUCCCAUUAGCUAGUUGGUGAGGUAACGGCUCACCAAGGCGACGAUGGGUAGCCGGCCUGAGAGGGUGGACGGCCACACUGGGACUGAGACACGGCCCAGACUCCUACGGGAGGCAGCAGUAGGGAAUAUUGCGCAAUGGAGGAAACUCUGACGCAGCGACGCCGCGUGAGCGAUGAAGGUUUUCGGAUCGUAAAGCUCUGUCCUUGGGGAAGAAGGUCUUCGGACUUGACGGUACCCAAGAAGAAAGCCCCGGCUAACUACGUGCCAGCAGCCGCGGUAAUACGUAGGGGGCAAGCGUUGUCCGGAAUUAUUGGGCGUAAAGGGUGCGUAGGCGGCCUUUUAAGUCAGAUGUGAAAGCCCGCGGCUUAACUGCGGGAUUGCAUUUGAAACUGGGAGGCUUGAGUAUCGGAGAGGGUAGUGGAAUUCCCAGUGUAGCGGUGAAAUGCGUAGAUAUUGGGAGGAACACCAGUGGCGAAGGCGACUGCCUGGACGAAAACUGACGCUGAGGCACGAAAGCUAGGGGAGCAAACAGGAUUAGAUACCCUGGUAGUCCUAGCCGUAAACGAUGGAUACUAGGUGUAGGAGGUAUCGACCCCUUCUGUGCCGGAGUUAACACAAUAAGUAUCCCACCUGGGGAGUACGGCCGCAAGGCUGAAACUCAAAGGAAUUGACGGGGGCCCGCACAAGCAGUGGAGUAUGUGGUUUAAUUCGAAGCAACGCGAAGAACCUUACCAGGGCUUGACAUACAGACGGAUGGUGUGGAAACACAUCAGACCUUCGGGACGUCUGUACAGGUGGUGCAUGGUUGUCGUCAGCUCGUGUCGUGAGAUGUUGGGUUAAGUCCCGCAACGAGCGCAACCCCUGUUGUUAGUUGCCAUCAUUAAGUUGGGCACUCUAACGAGACUGCCGGUGACAAAUCGGAGGAAGGUGGGGACGACGUCAAAUCAUCAUGCCCCUUAUGUCCUGGGCUACACACGUACUACAAUGGCUAUUACAGCAGGAAGCGAAGGAGUAAUCCGGAGCAGAUCCCAAAAAAUAGUCCCAGUUCGGAUUGUGGGCUGCAACUCGCCCACAUGAAGUCGGAAUUGCUAGUAAUGGCAGGUCAGCAUACUGCCGUGAAUACGUUCCCGGGCCUUGUACACACCGCCCGUCACACCAUGAGAGUCAGCGACACCCGAAGUCAGUAGUCUAAC